rnacentral:rRNA from 1 species
AAACUCGGUGAUGCAUUGGCUUGAUGCCAAUGCAGUGCCGCAGGGAAGCCGUUAAGUUUGCCGCCUGGGAAGUACGUACGCAAGUAUGAAACUUAAAGGAAUUGGCGGGGGAGCACCACAAGGGGUGAAGCCUGCGGUUCAAUUGGAGUCAACGCCAGAAAUCUUACCCGGAGAGACAGCAGAAUGAAGGUCAAGCUGAAGACUUUACCAGACAAGCUGAGAGGUGGUGCAUGGCCGUCGCCAGCUCGUGCCGUGAGAUGUCCUGUUAAGUCAGGUAACGAGCGAGAUCCUUGCCUCUAGUUGCCACCAUUACUCUCAGGAGUAGUGGGGCGAAUUAGCGGGACCGCCGUAGUUAAUACGGAGGAAGGAAGGGGCCACGGCAGGUCAGUAUGCCCCGAAACUCUGGGGCCACACGCGGGCUGCAAUGGUAACGACAAUGUGUUCCGAAUCCGAAAGGAGGAGGUAAUCCAGAAACGUUACCACAGUUAUGACUGAGGGCUGCAACUCGCCCUCACGAAUAUGGAAUCCCUAGUAACUGCGUGUCAUUAUCGCGCGGUGAAUACGUCCCUGCUCCUUGCACACACCGCCCGUCGUUUCAUUGAAGUUUGCUUUUAGCGAGGUGACGUCUGAUUGGCGUUAUCGAACUUGA